UACGGAGGGUGCAAGCGUUAUCCGGAUUCACUGGGCUUAAAGGGUGCGUAGGUGGGCAGGUAAGUCAGUGGUGAAAUCUCCGGGCUUAACCCGGAAACUGCCAUUGAUACUAUUUGUCUUGAAUACCGUGGAGGUCAGCGGAAUAUGUCAUGUAGCGGUGAAAUGCUUAGAUAUGACAUAGAACACCAAUUGCGAAGGCAGCUGGCUACACGAAUAUUGACACUGAUGCACGAAAGCGUGGGGAUCAAACAGG
rnacentral:rRNA from 1 species